AGUGGUGCCGCCCAGGCCCUCUAAGGUAGUGGUGCCGCCCAGGCCCUCUAAGGUAGUGGUGCCGCCCAGGCCCUCUAAGGUAGUGGUGCCGCCCAGGCCCUCUAAGGUAGUGGUGCCGCCCAGGCCCUCUAAGGUAGUGGUGCCGCCCAGGCCCUCUAAGGUAGUGGUGCCGCCCAGGCCCUCUAAGGUAGUGGUGCCGCCCAGGCCCUCUAAGGUAGUGGUGCCGCCCAGGCCCUCUAAGGUAGUGGUGCCGCCCAGGCCCUCUAAGGUAGUGGUGCCGCCCAGGCCCUCUAAGGUAGUGGUGCCGCCCAGGCCCUCUAAGGUAGUGGUGCCGCCCAGGCCCUCUAAGGUAGUGGUGCCGCCCAGGCCCUCUAAGGUAGUGGUGCCGCCCAGGCCCUCUAAGGUAGUGGUGCCGCCCAGGCCCUCUAAGGUAGUGGUGCCGCCCAGGCCCUCUAAGGUAGUGGUGCCGCCCAGGCCCUCUAAGGUAGUGGUGCCGCCCAGGCCCUCUAAGGUAGUGGUGCCGCCCAGGCCCUCUAAGGUAGUGGUGCCGCCCAGGCCCUCUAAGGUAGUGG